rnacentral:rRNA from 1 species
CGGCUCAGUAACACGUGGAUAACCUACCCUUGAGACGGGGAUAAACCCGGGAAACUGGGUAUAAUACCCGAUAGAUCUCGACUGCUGGAAUGCAUCGAGCUUGAAAGCUCCGGCGCUCAAGGAUGGGUCUGCGGCCUAUCAGGUAGUAGUGGGUGUAGCGUACCUACUAGCCUACGACGGGUACGGGUUGUGAGAGCAAGAGCCCGGAGAUGGAUUCUGAGACACGAAUCCAGGCCCUACGGGGUGCAGCAGGCGCGAAAACUUUACAAUGCUGGAAACAGCGAUAAGGGGACCUCGAGUGCCAGGUUACAAAUCUGGCUGUCGUGAUGCCUAAAAAGCAUUGCAUAGCAAGGGCCGGGCAAGACCGGUGCCAGCCGCCGCGGUAACACCGGCGGCUCGAGUGGUAACCGUUAUUAUUGGGUCUAAAGGGUCUGUAGCCGGCCGGAUAAGUCUCUUGGGAAAUCUGGCAGCUUAACUGCCAGGCUUUCAGGAGAUACUGUCUGGCUCGAGGCCGGGAGAGGUGAGAGGUACUUCAGGGGUAGGGGUGAAAUCUUGUAAUCCUUGAAGGACCACCAGUGGCGAAGGCGUCUCACCAGAACGGACCUGACGGCAAGGGACGAAAGCUAGGGGCACAAACCGGAUUAGAUACCCGGGUAGUCCUAGCCGUAAACGAUACUCGCUAGGUGUCG